rnacentral:rRNA from 1 species
UACGGAGAGUGCAAACGUUGUUCGGAUUCACUGGGCGUAAAGGGCACGUAGGCGGCUCGGCAAAUCGGUCGUGGAAUCCCGACGCUUACCGUCGGAACGGCGGCCGAAAAAUACCGGGCUCGAGGGCGUGAGGGGUCACUGGAACUCCUGGUGAAGCGGUGAAAUGCGUAGAUAUCAGGAGGAACGCCGGAGGCGAAAGCGAGUGACUGGCGCGUUCCUGACGCUGAGGUGCGAAAGCUAGGGGAGCAAACAGG